UCUCCUUUAAAAAAUGUAAAACUUUUGUUAAUGUUAUUAAAACCCGAUGUACUUCAGCUAGAGCUUUUUGAAACUAGUUGAGGUGUAGCAGGAAAGUGUUUCAGAAUAUGGUUCUUAGAUGUGAGGGGAUUACUAUGUGAGGGGGUGUGGUGAGUGACUGUGGUUCAUAAACAUACUGUGGGCUGAGAGAGAGAGAGAGAGAGAGAGAGAGAGAGAGAGAGAGAGAGAGAGAGAGAGAGAGAGAGAGAGAGAGAGAGAGAGAGAGAGAGAGAGAGAGAGACUGGUCAGUGUGUAUGUAAACUCAUUUUAGGUAAAAGAGAGAGAGAGAAGAGACUGACUGACUGACUGACUGACUGACUGACUGGUCAGUGUGUAUGUAAACUCAUUUUAGGUAUGUAGAUAUACCUGUAAUCCAUCUUUAGUCACGAAGGAUAGAUAUCUUGUAAAGACUUUGCAUAAUGUGCCAUCACCAGUAAUUACUUGAGUGACAAUGUGGAUGAGUCACUAAAGUGUUAGUUAAUCUUUGUGACUAAAACCAAUAUACUUUGCAGACAAGUGAGUGGCCAAGACAAGACCUGGUGAUCCAUGCUGAUAGCUGGUCCCUGUCCUCCUCCUCCUCCUCCUCCUGACUUGUCUCCUGCACUGCCAGCACUCCAGUGUGUGUGUGUGGGAUGUGGCUCUCUGUGGAUAACAAAUGUACUGUAUGAAAUCCAGAACAUUUUCUGUAUCACAAAUAAAACAUUGUAUGACAAGUUAAAA